GCCCUACACAUGCAGUCGAGCGGUAGCACAGAGAGCUUGCUCUCGGGUGACGAGCGGCGGACGGGUGAGUAAUGUCUGGGAAACUGCCUGAUGGAGGGGGAUAACUACUGGAAACGGUAGCUAAUACCGCAUAAUGUCGCAAGACCAAAGUGGGGGACCUUCGGGCCUCAUGCCAUCAGAUGUGCCCAGAUGGGAUUAGCUAGUAGGUGGGGUAACGGCUCACCUAGGCGACGAUCCCUAGCUGGUCUGAGAGGAUGACCAGCCACACUGGAACUGAGACACGGUCCAGACUCCUACGGGAGGCAGCAGUGGGGAAUAUUGCACAAUGGGCGCAAGCCUGAUGCAGCCAUGCCGCGUGUGUGAAGAAGGCCUUCGGGUUGUAAAGCACUUUCAGCGGGGAGGAAGGCGAUAGUUAAUAACCUAUGAUUGACGUUACCCGCAGAAGAAGCACCGGCUAACUCCGUGCCAGCAGCCGCGGUAAUACGGAGGGUGCAAGCGUUAAUCGGAAUUACUGGGCGUAAAGCGCACGCAGGCGGUCUGUCAAGUCGGAUGUGAAAUCCCCGGGCUCAACCUGGGAACUGCAUUCGAAACUGGCAGGCUAGAGUCUUGUAGAGGGGGGUAGAAUUCCAGGUGUAGCGGUGAAAUGCGUAGAGAUCUGGAGGAAUACCGGUGGCGAAGGCGGCCCCCUGGACAAAGACUGACGCUCAGGUGCGAAAGCGUGGGGAGCAAACAGGAUUAGAUACCCUGGUAGUCCACGCCGUAAACGAUGUCGAUUUGGAGGUUGUGCCCUUGAGGCGUGGCUUCCGGAGCUAACGCGUUAAAUCGACCGCCUGGGGAGUACGGCCGCAAGGUUAAAACUCAAAUGAAUUGACGGGGGCCCGCACAAGCGGUGGAGCAUGUGGUUUAAUUCGAUGCAACGCGAAGAACCUUACCUGGUCUUGACAUCCACAGAACUUUCCAGAGAUGAUUGGUGCCUUCGGGAACUGUGAGACAGGUGCUGCAUGGCUGUCGUCAGCUCGUGUUGUGAAAUGUUGGGUUAAGUCCCGCAACGAGCGCAACCCUUAUCCUUUGUUGCCAGCGGUCCGGCCGGGAACUCAAAGGAGACUGCCAGUGAUAAACUGGAGGAAGGUGGGGAGACGUCAAGUCAUCAUGGCCCUUACGACCAGGGCUACACACGUGCUACAAUGGCAUAUACAAAGAGAAGCGACCUCGCGAGAGCAAGCGGACCUCAUAAAGUAUGUCGUAGUCCGGAUUGGAGUCUGCAACUCGACUCCAUGAAGUCGGAAUCGCUAGUAAUCGUAGAUCAGAAUGCUACGGUGAAUACGUUCCCGGGCCUUGUACACACCGCCCGUCACACCAUGGGAGUGGGUUGCAAAAGAAGUAGGUAGCUUAACCUUCGGGAGGGCGCUACCACUUUG
rnacentral:rRNA from 1 species